rnacentral:lncRNA from 1 species
GGAAAUCUUAUUCGGAAGGUUGAGUAACCUAGGUGUUGAAAUUUUGGCACGCCUGGGGCACGUUUUAUCUAACGAUCUCUUUUGCAGGUGAUGUUGGUUAUUUUCACUCACUUGCAGGUUGUGAUAUGAAGCCUUUUGGCAAAAGAAUCCUUUGAAGUCCAAUCAGGGACGAGGGAUAGAAGAACGGUGAAAAGAUGGCGAAAGAAUGGCGACGAUCCUAGAGGGUAAUCAAGAAGACUCUUCAAAGUCUGAGGAUU